CACCUUAAAACUAGUCCGAACUUAAAAAUCAAUAAACAACCAUAAAUAACCCCUCACACAUCAAUACAACUAAAUAAAACAUUCUCCCCCCCUAGUAAGGGAGACAAAAAAGGAAAUAGGAACAAUAGAAAAAG
rnacentral:rRNA from 1 species